GGGGGGCUGCGGGAUCUCUGCCCCCACCCCUCCCGCCUCGGUCCCGGGAGUCUCUAGACCCCACCGUCCAGACGCCCCCCUUAGGCUCCCGCACCGAGCCCCAGUCCAGGAGCGGCGCUCAGUGGCCCCCAAUAGAGCCCAGCCCCUUCCAGCGCUCAAACUCUUUUGUUUUAAAUGAACUGGAUGGAGCAGCAUGGAACUGACGGGAGGGGGGCGCGCCGGGGGCGCCCGGGGCAUGCCGGGAGUUGUAGUUCCCGCCCUCGGGGGCGCGGGGACGAAUUCCUUGACCCGAGGAAGACAGGGAUGUGCCUUCGGUCUUUACGCUCUGCUGGGAGGCGAAGCCGGGGGUGGGAAGGCAGUCGAGGUCCCUCAUUUUUAAAGAGGAAAGGAGUCAGUGUACAGAAACGGAACGGGUUGAAAACAGGCUAAUGGAGUGUGCCCCCCUCCCAAAACGGGCUCCUUCGCGAUCCCGGCCAGUCUUAGGUCCCUCUUUCUUAUGGUAAUGAGGCGGGGGGAGAGGGCGGGGAGCUGUCCCGGCUGGGCCACUGCGGCUUUCUCUGGCUUUCUCUCUCCUCUUCCCCCUCCCUGCCGCGCUCCCUCUCCGCUCUCCGCUCCCCCCUCCCGUUCUCCCAGAGUCGAUCCCGGCUCCGGGCCGCGGGCAGAGGUUCUCCGCAGAGCAGACAAAGCCCGCAGCGGCGAUGCGUGGAGAACACGGCUCUGCGCGCUGGGGGGAGGGGGUGGGGGGCCGGGAUGGGGUGCCGGGUUGGAGGGUGGGACCCCCUGGCAAAAGACGGGGUCCCCUCUUCCCCAAGCGGCAAGCCAUCCCCCUUCCUCCCUUCCCUCCCCCCAGUCUCGGAGAUCAGAGAAGCACCGACUGGGAGGGCUGCUCAGAGAUAAUGUUUCACUAGCGAUGGGACCUGCUUCACAGGGUGGACCCAUGGGGCCUGCAGUCACUCUGGCCGACCCUUCGACCCUCAAGAACCUCCAUCAGCGCCAGGGAGCCUGGGCCCGGAACUGCCUCUCUGCCCCAGCAGCACCCUCUUGGUGCCCUUCCCUCCCCUUCCUGUGCCCCAAUUUCCAGAGGGUCUGA
rnacentral:lncRNA from 1 species